CUCCUUAACAUACUUAAUCUGAGAGCCUCAUUUGUUGUUGGGUGCAAAAAAGCAUGGCUUGCAAUGUGUAUCUCUUUAAAGGAUGUUCUUUCUAGGCCGUCGCUGCAGUAAAUAGCUUGAAUUGUUCCUGGUCCUGCCCAGUCUGCUUCAAAAAUUCUACUGCUCAUCACAGAGCCUGACCUUCAUCUCUACAGUGACAGCACCUGGCACAGCACCAAACCCUCACCAAGCGCUUUCCCUGACCAAAACAUUUCAGGUAAUGGGGAAUCCAGUGUGUGUCUCCAGGGCUGUCUUCAGGUGGGAUCUGUCUCGAUGAAGUCCAGCAGCCAAGAAGGCAGAUUUGAUGUCUGAGGUGGCCCUGCAGCCUUCUGUAGCUUGUGGAGAAGUUCUACCAUUCUUUCUUUGACUGAGACUCGGGUUUGAUCAGUCACUCUGUGGAAGGGACUGUGUUGUUCUGUCUUUAAGGGUCAACUGAGUCAAAGGCAAAAAGAAUCCUUUGAAGACAAAGAAGGCCUUGGGCGUGAAGCAUAUCUAAAGCUCAGGUGCCAAGGCUGGCUGUACAAGGGGUCCAGGGUAGGACAAAGGUGGUGUGGACUAUUUGGCAGCCCCACAUAUUGCUCUGUUGGUGAUAUUCUGGUCAAAUGAUGAAGAAAUCCUACAGCUGCUUUUUCUCAACACGAUGGCUGUUUCCAACUAUUGCAGAUUUAACCACCUGGAUUUAAA
ensembl:lncRNA